UACAGAGGGUGCAAGCGUUGUUCGGAAUUAUUGGGCGUAAAGCGCGUGUAGGCGGCCGUGCAAGUCGGGUGUGAAAGCCCUCAGCUCAACUGAGGAAGUGCGCCCGAAACUGCAUGGCUUGAGUACCGGAGAGGAUGGCGGAAUUCCCGAAGUAGAGGUGAAAUUCGUAGAUAUCGGGAGGAACACCGGUGGCGAAGGCGGCCAUCUGGACGGAUACUGACGCUGAGGCGCGAAAGCUAGGGGGAGCAAACGGG
rnacentral:rRNA from 1 species